UUGGGUUCCUAUUUUGAUAAAAUUGAGUCAAUAAAGCCCUUGCCAUUAAAUAGCAAUGGAUGACGUUAACUUUGUGGCGAACUGGCAUGUUGAGUUGUCCUUUAAUUAACACGUGGCACAAUAAAAUCCCGUUGUGUGUAAACCUUCUCCCCUUCCUCUUCCUCACCAACUCCAACCUCACCUUCUCCCCUAUUUGGGAAACUUUCUUCUCACCCUCUCACACCCACGUCUUCAACAUCUGCAUCCACGCCCAUCACCC
rnacentral:lncRNA from 1 species